UACGUAGGGGGCAAGCGUUGUCCGGAUUUAUUGGGCGUAAAGGGUGCGUAGGCGGCCCUGUAAGUCAGUGGUGAAAUACUCCAGCUUAACUGGAGGGGUGCCAUUGAUACUGCAGGGCUUGAGUACAGAUGAAGUAGGCGGAAUUGACGGUGUAGCGGUGAAAUGCAUAGAUAUCGUCAAGAACUCCGAUAGCGAAGGCAGCUUACUAAGCUGUAACUGACGCUGAGGCACGAAAGUGUGGGGAUCAAACAGG
rnacentral:rRNA from 1 species